UAGAAAACUAGACUCGCGCCACCACAAGAAUUUGCAUUAUGUGUCAGAAUAUCGUUAUUUUUAAUUAAUAAAUACAACACAUUCAACCAUUGCGUCAUGUGCGUCUGGAGCCACUGUCCGGGAAUCAAGUGGCACGUGUAAUUUAAAAUAUUUAUCUAAUUAAAAGGUGAAUAGCUGCUUAUCGGAAAGAGCUGGUGAAAGUGAGAAACUUCACAGAAAAAAAUAAAAGCGAAAAACAACGCAAAUUUGGAAAACCCUUUGAUAAUAUUAUGCAAAAACAUAAGCUUUGCAUUUCCGGUAUUUACCCCUGGGCGGGAAGUUUUGAAUAAUUCUGUAGUGAGAGCCACUGCAGACGAGAGGUGAAUGGGUUCCAGGAAGAUGGUCUCCGUUUCUGAAAUCGCUGAGAACCUGCAGUGGUGAGGGAACAGUGAAGAAGAGCAGUGUCGCGAAAACCAGAACAUCGGUCAAGAUGUCAACGGGCUCCAGAUCUCACUGAGAAAAACAACCAGAGAUAAUGGAACUAAUUACUGGUGUGUCCGUGUGUGUGUGUGUGUG